AUGGCGAGCGGAGGCGGAUACGCCUGGGCCCUCGCGGCGGGCCUCAACGCCGCGCUCGCCGCCAUCUCCGCCAAGUUCUUCGCUCCCAUGUUGCUCAAAUACGGCAUGGUGAUACUUUUCAACGUGACAAUGUGGGGGUGCUACGUGAACAGCCUCAAAGCUUUGUCCUCCCUCCAGGCAACAGUCACCAACUUCGCUGCCAACUUCAUCUCGUCGGGUCUUGCAGGGUAUUUCCUGUUUCAGGAGCCUCUGCCUUCCAAGUGGUUUGCAGGUGCCAGUCUCAUCAUUCUUGGUGUGUUCAUCCUCAGCAAAUCAAGCAUUGAGGAGAAAGUGAACUCUGAUUGA
rnacentral:rRNA from 1 species